UGCCAGCAGCCGCGGUAAUACGGAGGGUGCAAGCGUUAAUCGGAAUUACUGGGCGUAAAGCGCGCGUAGGCGGUUUGUUAAGCGAGAUGUGAAAGCCCAGGGCUCAACCUGGGAACUGCAUUCGAUACUGGCAGACUAGAGUGCGAGAGAGGGAGGUAGAAUUCCAUGUGUAGCGGUGAAAUGCGUAGAUAUGUGGAGGAAUACCAGUGGCGAAGGCGGCCUCCUGGGCCAAUACUGACGCUGAGGUUCGAAAGCGGGGGUAGCGAACAGGAUGAGAUA
rnacentral:rRNA from 1 species